rnacentral:tRNA from 1 species
AGGACGGGGCCCGGGGCCGGGCCGGUCUCCAAAGCCGGCCGGGGGAGUUCGACUCUCUCACGUCCUGCCA